AGUGAACGCUGGCGGUAGGCCUAACACAUGCAAGUCGAACGGCAGCACAGUAAGAGCUCGCUCUUACGGGUGGCGCGUGGCGGACGGGUGAGGAAUACCUCGGAAUCUACUUUUUCGAGGGGGAUAACGUAGGGAAACUUACGCUAAUACCGCAUACGACCUACGGGUGAAAUCAGCGGAUCUUCGGACCUUGCGCGAGUGAAUGAGCCGAUGUCGGAUUAGCUAGUUGGCGGGGUAAAGGCCCACCAAGGCGACGAUCCGUAGCUGGUCUGAGAGGAUGAUCAGCCACACUGGAACUGAGACACGGUCCAGACUCCUACGGGAGGCAGCAGUGGGGAAUAUUGGACAAUGGGCGCAAGCCUGAUCCAGCCAUACCGCGUGGGUGAAGAAGGCCUUCGGGUUGUAAAGCCCUUUUGUUGGGAAAGAAAAGCAGCAGGUUAAUACCCCGCUGUUCUGACGGUACCAAAAGAAUAAGCACCGGCUAACUUCGUG
rnacentral:rRNA from 1 species